rnacentral:rRNA from 1 species
UACAGAGGUCUCAAGCGUUGUUCGGAUUCAUUGGGCGUAAAGGGUGCGUAGGCGGCGCGGUAAGUCGGGUGUGAAAUCUCGGGGCUUAACUCCGAAACUGCAUUCGAUACUGCCGUGCUUGAGGACUGGAGAGGAGACUGGAAUUUACGGUGUAGCGGUGAAAUGCGUAGAUAUCGUAAGGAAGACCAGUGGCGAAGGCAGCUCGCUGGAACGGUACUGACGCUGAGGCGCGAAAGCGUGGGGAGCGAACAGG